rnacentral:rRNA from 1 species
AUUGCCCUAGUAACGGCGAGUGAAGCGGCAACAGCUCAAAUUUGAAAUCUGGCUCUCGGGCCCGAGUUGUAAUUUGUAGAGGAUGCUUUUGAUGCGGUGCCUUCCGAGUUCCCUGGAACGGGACGCCAUAGAGGGUGAGAGCCCCGUCUGGUUGGAUGCCAAAUCUCUGUAAAGCUCCUUCAACGAGUCGAGUAGUUUGGGAAUGCUGCUCUAAAUGGGAGGUAUAUGUCUUCUAAAGCUAAAUACCGGCCAGAGACCGAUAGCGCACAAGUAGAGUGAUCGAAAGAUGAAAAGCACUUUGAAAAGAGAGUUAAAAAGUACGUGAAAUUGUUGAAAGGGAAGCGUUUAUGACCAGACUUGGGCUUGUUUAAUCAUCCGGGCUUCUGCCCGGUGCACUUGUUCAGCUCAGGCCAGCAUCAGUUUUCCCCGGGGGAUAAAGGCGGCGGGAAUGUGGCUCUCUUCGGGGAGUGUUAUAGCCCACCGUGUAAUACCCUGGGGGGGACUGAGGUUCGCGCAUCUGCAAGGAUGCUGGCGUAAUGGUCAUCAACGACCCGUCUUGAAACACGGACCAAGGAGUCGUCUUCGUAUGCGAGUGUUCGGGUGUCAAACCCCUACGCGUAAUGAAAGUGAACGCAGGUGAGAGCUUCGGCGCAUCAUCGACCGAUCCUGAUGUUCUCGGAUGGAUUUGAGUAAGAGCAUACGGGGCCGGACCCGAAAGAAGGUGAACUAUGCCUGUAUAGGGUGAAGCCAGAGGAAACUCUGGUGGAGGCUCGCAGCGGUUCUGACGUGCAAAUCGAUCGUCAAAUAUGGGCAUGGGGGCGAAAGACUAAUCGAACCUUCUAGUAGCUGGUUUCCGCCGAUU